ACGUAGGAGGCAAGCGUUAUCCGGAUUCACUGGGCGUAAAGCGCGUGCAGGCGGUUCGGUAAGUUGGGCGUGAAAUCUCCUGGCUUAACUAGGAGAGGUCGUUCAAUACUACCGGACUUGAGAGUGAUAGAGGAAGAUGGAAUUCCCGGUGUAGUGGUGAAAUGCGUAGAUAUCGGGAGGAACACCAGUGGCGAAAGCGAUCUUCUGGAUCAUUUCUGACGCUCAGACGCGAAAGCUAGGGUAGUAAACGGGAUUAGAGACCCCGGUAAUCCUAGCCGUAAACGAUGUAAACUUGGCGUUGGUGGCUUUAACUCCAUCAGUGCCGCAGCUAACGCGAUAAGUUUACCGCCUGGGGACUACGAUCGCAAGAUUA
rnacentral:rRNA from 1 species